rnacentral:rRNA from 1 species
AGGACGAACGCUGGCGGCGUGCUUAACACAUGCAAGUCGAGCGGAAAGGCCCUUCGGGGUACUCGAGCGGCGAACGGGUGAGUAACACGUGAGUAAUCUGCCCUUAGCUCUGGGAUAGCUCCGGGAAACCGGGAUUAAUACCAGAUACGACCACUUUAGACAUCUGCCGUGGUGGAAAGAAUUUCGGCUAAGGAUGAGCUCGCGGCCUAUCAGCUUGUUGGUGGGGUAACGGCCUACCAAGGCGACGACGGGUAGCCGGCCUGAGAGGGCGACCGGCCACACUGGGACUGAGACACGGCCCAGACUCCUACGGGAGGCAGCAGUGGGGAAUAUUGCGCAAUGGGCGAAAGCCUGACGCAGCGACGCCGCGUGGGGGAUGAAGGCCUUCGGGUUGUAAACCCCGUUUCAGCAGGGACGAAGCGAAAGUGACGGUACCUGCAGAAGAAGCGCCGGCUAACUACGCGCCAGCGAGCCGC